rnacentral:lncRNA from 1 species
AAGAUGGCGCCGCCCAGGCGGCUCUGAGGGCAGAGCUGAGGUGCGCUGGGGGCCGAACCCACGAGAGGGGCGAGCCUGCAGCGCUCAGGACUUGAACCCCGGGCUGGUCUCCUGUCCCGCGAGCGAGCGCAAUGACUCUUAUCUUCAAUAAAAGCACUAUUUGAAGUUGAAAGUGGAGCUGGGCCGGAAGCUGAGGAUGGACCUUACUUUUAGGUCCUUUAAUAUGCAUUCUGUUCUGGGCAGAGGAUUCUCUUAGGUAAUGACUGUAAACUAGGGGGUGCUCACCUACUGCCAUCACCUAUCCCAUAGUUAUGAGAUUCCUAUAAUUCUUUAUGUAAACUGUUAUAUUAGGAUUGCUAAUAAGCCCUUAGUAUUUUUUUUUUUUUUUUGGUCUUUUGUCCUUUUAGGGCUGAACCCACCGCAUGUGGAGGUUCCCAGGCUAGGGGUCUAAUUGGAGCUGUAGCUGCUGGCCUGUGCCAGAGCCACAAAAAUGCCAGAUCCGAGCAGCGUCUGCAACUUACACCACAGCUCACGGCAACGCCGGAUCCCCAACGCCCUGAGUGAGGCCAGGGAUUGAACCCACAACCCCAUGGUUCCUAGUCAGAUUCAUCUCCACUGUGCCACAACGGGAACUCCCCCUAGGUAUUUUUUGAAGAGAAAUUUCUUCAACCAUAACAAGCACUAUAAUAGCUAUUUAUUGUCUUCAGGCUUAAAUACUACAAUGAUGUAUAAAGAAAACUUGUAAAUUAGCAGCUUGUGAUGUUACGACUUGGAGUUUUUUGUUUUAGAUCCACUCCAAACGUGGAUCUGAGUCCUUAUGGUACGUAAUUGCCAUUUGUUUUUUGUUGAUCCUAACAGAAUAGGAAGGUGGAAGGGCCCUUGGACAUCGGCUUGCGUAUUUUUAGAGAUGAGCUAAUCGAAGGCCCUUUCCUCAUUCAUUCAUUCAUUCCUUCCUCCAGCACUCCCUGACCACCACUUCUUAAGUACCUUAAUUCAUGCCAUGUGAUGUAGUUACAAUGUUAAUAAUGAACUAAAUAAGCAAAGUGACAACGUAUCUUUGACAGGUGCUAUGAUAGGGGUAAUAUUACCAAGUGUGAGGGGAAUACAGAAGGGGGACAUUCAGUUAGGACCUUGACCUUAAGGUAAGAUUUCCAGCAUAGAAGUUAUUUCCACAGUGAGCAGCAAGAGCCAGAUGGAGAAUGUGAUGAGUGAGAGAUUGUGGUGGCCUCUGAAAGUGUGGAGGCUGGAGGGAGCAGGUUCCAUUCCAGGAACGCCAGUUGUGGGGAGAGGAACGGACUAUGAGACACAGACAUGAUGAGCCCUGUACCUGAUUUAUUUUAAUUCAAUUUCCUUUGUUCUGGGAUUAAGUUCUUUUUUUUUUUUGCUUUUUAGGGCUGCACUCGUGGCAUAUGGAGGUUCCCAGCCUAGGGGUCUGAUUGGAGCAGUAGCUGCCAGCCUACACCACAGCCACAGCAACAUCAGAUCCUUAACCCACUGAGCAAGGCCAGGGAUUGAACCUGAAACCUCAUGGUUCCUAGUUGGAUUUGUUUCCACUGCGUCAUGACAAGAACUCCUGGGGUUAGGUUCUUAUAAGUCAAAUAGACCUCACUUCUGAGCUGUUGAAAUAUAGAUUAGUUUUUCAGGUGUUGGUAGGUUUUUAUUUCAAAUAGAGGAUGUUUGGCAUCCUUUAUCAUAAGAGCGCUGAAAUCCUAUUUCGUUUUCUUUCUUUCUUUUUUUUUUUUUUUUGCUGCACCCUUGGCACAUGGAAGUCCCCAGGCCAGAAAUUGAAUCCAAGCCAGAUUCUUUAACUCACUGUGCCAGGCAGGGGAUGGAACUUGUGCUUCCGCAGUGACCCAAGCCACUGCAGUCAGGUUCUUUACCUGCUGUGCCUCAGCGGGAACUCCGAAAUCCCAUUUUUUCACAUCAGCAUUCUGCUUGAGCCUGGUGGUUCAAGUCCCAGUCCUUGUGGUUCCUUGAGGACUGACUGUACACUAAAGGUCGAUCCUGUUUUCCAAAAGUUAGGAGUUCAGGUUCAGCUUGCAGGCCGCUGGAACACAGGACAGAAAGUACAAAGUGCUGCCGGCAGCCGUGCCCGUGAAGUGCGGCGCGUCUCAGCGCCCGAAGGAAUGGCUUCCGUGGCUUCCACGCUUCCACGAGCUGGCCUGGCUGAGGCCGCGCCAUCAGGGUGGUUUUUUUGGUUUGUUUGUGGUUCCCAGCUGCUUGGAUGCAGCCGCGGGAGAGCAACGUCCAUCCGUGGAGCGAGGGCCUUGGUGGAGGAGGUGGUUUUUGUGUCGGGCCUGCAGAUUUCGGUUUGGCUGGGCGGCAGGGUGUGGCGGCAGAGGGGCUGCUGCAGGAGGCCAAGGAGCAGGGAGCCCGCUGGAAUCCAGGGAAAAGGGCCUGGGUGACCUCACAGCUCUCCUGGGUGCGGGACACAGAGGUCGCCAUGAGUUGUCCUUGAACCCCUGAUGGGACAGCUGUCACCCCCAGCAAGGAAGGGAAAGCUGGAUGGCUGGGUGUUUAGCCAGAGUUGUGCAGCUCGGAAGCCGCGGGAUGGAGGUGGUGAUGGGCCCAGGAUGGGCUCUGUCCAGCCGUGACACCAGCUGUGAUGCCCUGCUUUGCCGAAGGCCUUCAGAGCCAGCUUCAGGAAUUUGAAGUUUGUUAAGUUUUCUUGGAUAAUGUGGGUCAGUUUUAGUCAUAUUUGAAAUUUUAAUUUAGAGUGUCAUUUGCAAAGCUAACUGCUUUUUCUAGGAAAUAUUACAGAUAUUCAGAGACUCUCAAAUGUUGAUUUUUUUUUAUACUAGCUUUUUAGUCUUUUAAGAUAAAUUUACUUGUUUUUUUCUAUUAACAUCUCUUGGAAAAGGCUUAGUGGCUUUUUUAGGCUGUCUAUUCAUGUGUGUGUGAGAGAGUCACGUUUCUGUAGAGGCUCUUUUCAAAUGUACUUGAAAUCUGUCCAUUGACAAUUUUGGGAAGCAGCUGGGAGUUCCUGCUUCAUUCAUUGGAGUCUUAAGUGUUGCCUUCCUGGUGGGCAGUGAUAAUAAAAUUGACAGUUGAUUUCGUAGAAAGUGUGUCAGAUGCCACUUAUAGAGGAAUUUUUUUAAACAAAUUCAUUCUUUGCCUUCUAAAGGAAACAGCUCACCUUUCUUACUGCAAACCCUACGCCUUCCCUACAGAACACGCAGCUCUCUUAGGGUGUGAUGGUGACAGUGGUCUCUCACAGACCCCUCAUUCUUUUUUUUCUCACUAGUUAUGAGGGAUGCGUUUAAGGCAUAAUGUUUUCAUGUUGUCUGGAUAUUUUAGAAUGAUUUGUUUUGUAUUUCUUUCUUAAAAUUUUUUUUGGGCAUGUUGUCUUAGUUGCAGGUGUACAGCAAAGUGACUCAGUUAUAGAAUGACGUGUUAAACGAGCCACAUGCAGUGCUACUGAGAGCUCUUCUUUGCUUAGAAUUUAUUUCCUCUUCCAGAAACUUCGCUGUGCUCUUUGCAAACCUCUCAUUUCAGUAAUUCUGCUAAAGACGAGUGUGACGUUCUGAUCGACUUACUUGAGCGGGACGUGGUUGCAGCCAUCCCUCCUUUGUCCAGAGCAGUGGGUUCUUUACAGAAAACACAGGAUCUGCAGUGUUCACUCUGUGUUUAGGCAAAAACAGCCUUGUUUUGCUAUUGCUGGUGCAGUGCUAGGCCAGUGUCUCAGAUCCAACAGCGAGUUCUGUGAAGGUGGGGUUUUGGAUUUUUUGUCUUUUUAGAGCCACACCCACGGCAUUUGGAAGUUCUCGGGCUAGGGGUCGAAUUGGAGCUACAGCUGCCGGCCUAUGCCACCGCCACACCGGAUCCUUAACCCACUGAGCGAGGCCAGGGAUGGAACCCGAAUCCUCAGGGAGACUAGUUGGGAUCGUUACUUCGGAGCCACAAUGGGAACUCUGAGUUCUGUGAAGUCCUGGUUCCUUGGAAGGACGAGGGACCUUGUAAAGGAAGGGCCUGCAGUUCUUCCCUCCCGUGGGUGUCUCCCGAGAGCUUCCUUUGCUGCCCACGCACAACACUUUCCUCCCCGUGGGGUUUUGUCCUCGCGCCCAGCCGUUCUCUGGGACAGCAGCUGGUUAAAGUCAGGUCUGACGCUGUCGGCGGGAGCUGACUCAGACGCCUUGGGGCUCAUCCCACAAGACCCCCGUCCCACCCCCACUUCAGAUGCCAUUCAUAGGUGCUGGGUCCCCUGGUCACCCACAGCUUCUGUCCCAUUGGCUGCAAGUUGGAGGUUUUGCAGCCUGUUCCUUGGGUUUGAUUAAUUUGCUAGAGCAGCUCACAGGACUCAAGGAAACACAGUGACCAGGCUAUCAACUGGGAACUGGGUGACUGAGUGAGCAACGUGAGAUGGAAGUCCUUAGAUGUCUGCAUCUUCCGUCUUCCUGCCCUGUCACCAUCACCGGUUUUAGGUAACAGGGGAUGUUGGGCCACAGCACGGGGUCUCUGUCGUUUGUUCAGAGGACGUGUUCCCUGCUGGUCAGAGUCGAGGUUUAGAUUUUACAGCAGGAGUCGGGGUAGCCUAGUCCCUCCACUGCUACCAAGUAAGCAGCUUGUCCGUUUCUUUGCAAGAGUGACAAACAUUUCGGACGCUUUUUCCCUUGUUUUAUGAUGUGGUCUCCCAGAGUGUUGCAUUGUCUUAGAAUGAGCUUGAUUGGCACUUUUUCUAAUUUGGAGGGAAGGGAACGUUUUGUUUCCUGUGUUGGGUCACCCUGGAAGCACGAAUGUCACUCUCACUUUGGCAGGUUGUUGUGCUUCGUUACCAGGCCCGUAUUUAAAGUCAUACUUAGCGUCCCUGAGUUUUCUUCCUAAAAGAAUAGUCCCGGGCAAGGCCCUGUAAAUGAUCCACAAGUUACUGACUUAAAGCGUAAAUGCUUUUAAAUACAAUGUUUUAGUUUCAAUGUGCCGCCGUCCUAGAUUGUUGGUAAUAGUUUGUUGCCAGGGAGGUGUAUUCUGGGUUGUAAAUGUACGGAUGUGAUAGAAAGGGAGCAGACUAGGACUUGGUUGCUUUGGUUACAUCUCACACCUUUCGCAGCUUUUCCACAGCAGGUCAGUCUCUAAACAUUUGGGUAAUCUUAGGAUUGAUUUCCUGAAUCAGGGUGCUUUUGAGAUCAGUGAAAACAGGUGCUGUUAGAUAAUGGUGGUGGGACAGCAGGCAUAAGCCUGCACCGUCCUGGGGCAACGAGAUGUGUGUCCCCUGCUUGGUCCGCUGGCCUGCGGUGACGACAUCGCCCGCUCACUCUGGGGCUUUAGGACCUUCCCUGUCCCAGCAAGGCUGGAGGCGUGGCUUGUAAAGAACCGAAGUCGCAGGGACCAAGGUUCUGAGGCUCGCCCAAGGCCUCACGUCCUUUCGUUUCCCAGCUGACCCUGCAUCCCGCCUCUCCUCUCUGUGCCCAGAGGAGGAUCCUCUGCAGUCGGGGCCGCUCUGGAUUCCCAAUCUGCUGUGGCCGCACUGCCAGAGGAGACUGGGCGGCAGGUGCAGCAGAGGGGUUUCUGGGCCUUAGGGCGAGUCUCCCUGCGCAGGGCUAGAGGGCUGUCCAAAGGCGCGGGAGGAGGGGCGCUCUCCCUCUUUGAAUUCACCUAAGAAGAGGAACUCGGGGCCCGUGUGGCUGUGUCUGCUCACUGCCCACGGCCUUAUUUUAUAUUGUUUGGGCUUCUAAAACAAGCGUCUGAGUGUUAACAGGAGCAUAAGAAAGCAAUCAGGCGUCCAGAGCAGGAGGCGGGCAGGCUUUUCCGGCCGCUUUCCCAGGUGCAGCCCUGCAGCCUGUCCUUUGGGGGGAGGGGCCCAGCCCCACAGGACCUGGUUAGGGGUUAGGGCAGCUGUGGUCAGGUGCCUCGCCUGCCGCCCUGCCCGCCCCAGCAGAGUUCUGGGGGCCUGACGCUCUCGUCACAGAUGCUCCUCAGGGUCCUCGCCCUUUCCAGACCUCUGGUCCUCUGCCCGGCCCUGCAAGGGCUCUGAGCGCUGUCUUCGUCCUCAUGCUGAUUGACUUAGGACAUUGCUACCCACAUUUUACCCCAAACAAACCAAAAACCCGGAGACUCAGGAACUUCAAUAAGGGGCCCUGGUUCGCAGGCAGAUUUGGUGUUUGAACUGAGGCCUGCUUGUUCUAGAAUGUUUGUGUUCUCCAGAUCACGUCACACCAUAUUGGAUAUGGUGGUGUGACACCUACAGCAGCCUUGAGAAACUGAAAACAUAGUUUACAUUGAAUCUUAUUUUCUAUAAUUAGUGUCCUACAGCCACCCUGCUUUACUCUGGGCAAGGCUUGUUUUCAAGCCCUGGUUGUCCAGUGGUUGAGUUCCUUCGCAUUCUCUUUGGUUCUGUGCUUGAAAAAGUACAAUUAAUGUGUAAAAUCUUGUAUAAACCCAGUUAGGCUGAAGGAUGCCUACUGUGCAUACACACUGUAUUCAGAGACUAUUUCCAACUUGAUCAGUCUCUUGAUAAAACUUAUGCUUUCGUGUUGUAUUUGCUAAAAUCUCCCCAAAACUUUCCUUUCAAGCGCAGCAUCAGUUUUCUCCUCCUAGGACCACUGUACUGCAGGCUCUGCAAUUUCAGUCUGAGGAAUAUGAAUUUUAAAAGAUUCACGGUCCCGUCCAAACAGCAGCUUCCAGUCUGUGUCCUGACACCUGUGAGAGCCACAGAAAGAAAGGCUUAUGAAUUACCGUUUAUCUGCGUAUGCCGGUGGCCACCUUGUUUAAACAAAUGCAGGUGGUGUGUAAUUGGAAAAUAGGCGGUGGUCAAAGUCAGCGGGACUCGGGAGUGCUUCUUAGUAACUCUGAAUUCUACACGGACCUUAAAAGUGGGUGUUUCUGAGAGGACACAUCUUAGAAGUUCUCAUCACAAGAAGAACACGUUUUGUAACGACACCGGGGGAUAGAUGUUCACUAGACUCACUGUGUGAUCAUUUCGCAGUGUCUGUACAUAGCGAGCAUGUUAUGUACCCAAACUGAUUGUUAUAUGUCAAUUAAUAAAAAAAUUAACA